UACGAAGGGGGCUAGCGUUGCUCGGAAUCACUGGGCGUAAAGGGUGCGUAGGCGGGUCUUUUAAGUCAGAGGUGAAAGCCUGGAGCUCAACUCCAGAACUGCCUUUGAGACUGCAUCGCUUGAAUCCAGGAGAGGUGAGUGGAAUUCCGAGUGUAGAGGUGAAAUUCGUAGAUAUUCGGAAGAACACCAGUGGCGAAGGCGACUUACUGGACACAUAUUGACGCUGAGGUGCGAAAGCGUGGGGAGCAAACAGG
rnacentral:rRNA from 1 species